AACACGCGCACCAGUAAACCCACAGAAGAAGAAUGAAGACGACGUGCAAAACUUUUGUUUGUAUAUAUAGACUUCAGACAGAAAUUCGUGCUGCAAACCGUUUGCGCUAUGCAAAGCCGCAAAAGAAAAAAAUGAAGAGAUGUGUGUGGAGAGGUGGAUCAACACCACACGAGGACAGCAGGGAUUUAAGAGUUGGAGAAUAGGACAGGCUUCGCAAAGCAUGACUUGGAGAGCGUUUGUCUUUGACCCUGCGAUUCUAUGCAACAGGUGACACGUUCAAGUCCCUCAGGUUCAAGUCCAGGAUGGGGGACCAGCACCAUCCCACAAAUAGUUUUGGAUAGCUGUUCUGUACCAGGUUAUAAAGGACGAUUUCUUGAAGACACCAUCAACGGAAGGAGAGUGGCAUAGCCGUGGACUUCGAAAGGAAGUGGCAGUUUCCACAUUGCUUUGGGGUACUUGCUACCACUCCAGCUGUAGCAGACUGCUGACCAAAACAUGGUUGAUGGGCAAUGGAAGAAUCGUGGGACGGGUGCUUUCAACCGAUGAACACCACCUCACAUCGCAAUUGUAUGGCAACAGCAAAAGUGCAACGCAAUCUGAUGCGGGACUACUUUGUCUCACCAGCGUGUAGUGUUUAUUAGCAAGUUCAACACAUUUUAAAAGGAACUGAUGUAGAGUUAUCCCUGCAAACAGCAGAUUAAAGCCAGUUAUUGUCAGUUUAGGACAUUCGUUUUCUUGUGUGUUCUAAAUUCCUGUAUUUGUAAAGAACACAAUGUGGUUCACUUUUUCAUUGUUUUAAGUAUUUUGUUUAUUGUUGUGUUAUUAUUCAAUUAAUUUUAAUUGCAUACAAAUCAAAAGGUGCAGGAAUGUAACAAAUAAAGGCAAUCUGCAUGUUGCAAUUAAGUGCCUUAUACUAACUUUAUUUCUUGAUCCACACUCAUUAUUCACAGAACAUUAACAAUGUUUCUAUACUACGGCGCUAAACAUCAACAUAUCUGAUCAUGCUAAAAAUUUAUGGGGAUUGUGAUGAUAAGCUCUGGGCAUUUUUACUCAAUGUGGAUUAAUCUAACAGCCAAUCACACACAAUUACAUUACGAUAUUUAUAUAUCACCCAGCCCUUAAAAGGGCUCUACAUAGGGAUUUUUGUAAUGUUUAAUUGUGUUAAUGUGGUGCACUGCACGUGUUCUAACAAUGUAUAUUUUGUCUGUCCACAUAAUAUACAUUCAAAUGUACUAGAUUGUUUUCAAGUUGCACAAACAACAAUGCAAGGCUAUAAAGCACUAUUCAUAUUGGCGUUUUUUGUAAAAUAUGACAAUGUGUUUUAUACUUUUAUACUUUGUUGCAUUAAAUGUAUUACUUUCGAUA